rnacentral:rRNA from 1 species
UGGGGAAUUUUGGACAAUGGGCGAAAGCCUGAUCCAGCAAUGCCGCGUGUGUGAAGAAGGCCUUCGGGUUGUAAAGCACUUUUGUCCGGAAAGAAAUCCUUGGCUCUAAUACAGUCGGGGGAUGACGGUACCGGAAGAAUAAGCACCGGCUAACUACGUGCCAGCAGCCGCGGUAAUACGUAGGGUGCAAGCGUUAAUCGGAAUUACUGGGCGUAAAGCGUGCGCAGGCGGUUUGCUAAGACCGAUGUGAAAUCCCCGGGCUCAACCUGGGAACUGCAUUGGUGACUGGCAGGCUAGAGUAUGGCAGAGGGGGGUAGAAUCCCACGUGUAGCAGUGAAAUGCGUAGAGAUGUGGAGGAAUACCGAUGGCGAAGGCAGCCCCCUGGGCCAAUACUGACGCUCAUGCACGAAAGCGUGGGGAGCAAACAGGAUUAGAUACCCUGGUAGUCCACGCCCUAAACGAUGUCAACUAGUUGUUGGGGAUUCAUUUCCUUAGUAACGUAGCUAACGCGUGAAGUUGACCGCCUGGGGAGUACGGUCGCAAGAUUAAAACUUAAGGAAUUGACGGGGUCAUAGCUGUUUCCU